CCUACGGGAGGCAGCAGUCGAGAGGCUUCGGCAAUGGGGGAAACCCUGACCGAGCGACGCCGCGUGAGGGAUUAAGCCCUUCGGGGUGUAAAGCACUUUCGGACGGAACGAAAUCGCGCGAUCUAAUAAGUCGCGUGGAUGACGGUACCGUAAGAAGAAGCACCGGCUAACUACGUGCCAGCAGCCGCGGUAAU
rnacentral:rRNA from 1 species